rnacentral:rRNA from 1 species
CAUUCACGGAGAGUUUGAUCCUGGCUCAGGACGAACGCUGGCGGCGUGCUUAACACAUGCAAGUCGAACGAUGAACCACCUUCGGGUGGGGAUUAGUGGCGAACGGGUGAGUAACACGUGGGCAAUCUGCCCUGCACUCUGGGACAAGCCCUGGAAACGGGGUCUAAUACCGGAUACUGACCUGCCAAGGCAUCUUGGCGGGUCGAAAGCUCCGGCGGUGCAGGAUGAGCCCGCGGCCUAUCAGCUUGUUGGUGAGGUAAUGGCUCACCAAGGCGACGACGGGUAGCCGGCCUGAGAGGGCGACCGGCCACACUGGGACUGAGACACGGCCCAGACUCCUACGGGAGGCAGCAGUGGGGAAUAUUGCACAAUGGGCGAAAGCCUGAUGCAGCGACGCCGCGUGAGGGAUGACGGCCUUCGGGUUGUAAACCUCUUUCAGCAGGGAAGAAGCGAAAGUGACGGUACCUGCAGAAGAAGCGCCGGCUAACUACGUGCCAGCAGCCGCGGUAAUACGUAGGGCGCAAGCGUUGUCCGGAAUUAUUGGGCGUAAAGAGCUCGUAGGCGGCUUGUCGCGUCGGUUGUGAAAGCCCGGGGCUUAACCCCGGGUCUGCAGUCGAUACGGGCAGGCUAGAGUUCGGUAGGGGAGAUCGGAAU